rnacentral:rRNA from 1 species
AUUGAACGCUGGCGGCAGGCCUAACACAUGCAAGUCGAACGAGUGGCGGACGGGUGAGUAAUGUCUGGGAAACUGCCCGAUGGAGGGGGAUAACUACUGGAAACGGUAGCUAAUACCGCAUACCAUCGGAUGUGCCCAGAUGGGAUUAGCUAGUAGGUGGGGUAACGGCUAACCAAGGCGUCGAUCCCUAGCUGGUCUGAGAGGAUGACCAGCCACACUGGAACUGAGACACGGUCCAGACUCCUACGGGAGGCAGCAGUGGGGAAUAUUCCACAAUGGACGCAAGCCUGAUGCAGCCAUGCCGCGUGUAUGAAGAAGGCUUUCGGGUUGUAAAGUACUUUUGGCGAGGAGGCGUUACUCGCAGAAGAAGCACCGGCUAACUCCGUGCCAGCAGCCGCGGUAAUUC